GCAAACUUGGUCAUUUAGAGGAAGUAAAAGUCGUAACAAGGUUUCCGUAGGUGAACCUGCGGAAGGAUCAUUACAAAAAAUUGUAAAAACCUUCGCAUCGAAAGAUGUGAAACCACUCUGUGUGAAUAGUAUACAAGUAUACUUUGGCAGGUUUUUUUUUCGAGUUGGUACUUUAACACGAGUAUAAGCUCGUCUCUCAUUAUUUGGGAGAGACCUGCCAAAGUCUAUUUUAUAAUAAACCUUUUUAUAUGAUAUAUCUUUAUAUACUAUAUACAAAAUAUAAAUACAACUUUCAGCAACGGAUCUCUUGGCUCUCGCAUCGAUGAAGAACGCAGC
rnacentral:misc_RNA from 1 species